GCCGAGAUGGCUCAGUUGGUAGAGCAUGAGACUCUGAAUCUCAGGGGCAUGGGUUCGAACCCCACAUUGGGCA